UACGUAGGUGGCAAGCGUUGUCCGGAAUCAUUGGGCGUAAAGAGCGUGUAGGCGGCCCGAUAAGUCCGCUGUGAAAGUCCAGGGCUCAACCCUGGAAUGCCGGUGGAUACUGUCGGGCUAGAGUCCGGAAGGGGCGAGUGGAAUUCCUGGUGUAGCGGUGAAAUGCGCAGAUAUCAGGAGGAACACCAAUGGCGAAGGCAGCUCGCUGGGACGGUACUGACGCUGAGACGCGAAAGCGUGGGGAGCAAACAGG
rnacentral:rRNA from 1 species